AUGCAGUCGACGAACUCUGGUAUUGAUUGGUGCUUGCAUCAUGAUUUACAUUUGAGUGAGUGGCGAACUGGUGAGUAACACGUGGGAAACCUGCCCAGAAGCGGGGGAUAACACCUGGAAACAGAUGCUAAUACCGCAUAACAACUUGGACCGCAUGGUCCGAGCUUGAAAGAUGGCUUCGGCUAUCACUUUUGGAUGGUCCCGCGGCGUAUUAGCUAGAUGGUGGGGUAACGGCUCACCAUGGCAAUGAUACGUAGCCGACCUGAGAGGGUAAUCGGCCACAUUGGGACUGAGACACGGCCCAAACUCCUACGGGAGGCAGCAGUAGGGAAUCUUCCACAAUGGACGAAAGUCUGAUGGAGCAACGCCGCGUGAGUGAAGAAGGGUUUCGGCUCGUAAAACUCUGUUGUUAAAGAAGAACAUAUCUGAGAGUAACUGUUCAGGUAUUGACGGUAUUUAACCAGAAAGCCACGGCUAACUACGUGCCAGCAGCCGCGGUAAUACGUAGGUGGCAAGCGUUGUCCGGAUUUAUUGGGCGUAAAGCGAGCGCAGGCGGUUUUUUAAGUCUGAUGUGAAAGCCUUCGGCUCAACCGAAGAAGUGCAUCGGAAACUGGGAAACUUGAGUGCAGAAGAGGACAGUGGAACUCCAUGUGUAGCGGUGAAAUGCGUAGAUAUAUGGAAGAACACCAGUGGCGAAGGCGGCUGUCUGGUCUGUAACUGACGCUGAGGCUCGAAAGUAUGGGUAGCAAACAGGAUUAGAUACCCUGGUAGUCCAUACCGUAAACGAUGAAUGCUAAGUGUUGGAGGGUUUCCGCCCUUCAGUGCUGCAGCUAACGCAUUAAGCAUUCCGCCUGGGGAGUACGGCCGCAAGGCUGAAACUCAAAGGAAUUGACGGGGGCCCGCACAAGCGGUGGAGCAUGUGGUUUAAUUCGAAGCUACGCGAAGAACCUUACCAGGUCUUGACAUACUAUGCAAAUCUAAGAGAUUAGACGUUCCCUUCGGGGACAUGGAUACAGGUGGUGCAUGGUUGUCGUCAGCUCGUGUCGUGAGAUGUUGGGUUAAGUCCCGCAACGAGCGCAACCCUUAUUAUCAGUUGCCAGCAUUAAGUUGGGCACUCUGGUGAGACUGCCGGUGACAAACCGGAGGAAGGUGGGGAUGACGUCAAAUCAUCAUGCCCCUUAUGACCUGGGCUACACACGUGCUACAAUGGAUGGUACAACGAGUUGCGAACUCGCGAGAGUAAGCUAAUCUCUUAAAGCCAUUCUCAGUUCGGAUUGUAGGCUGCAACUCGCCUACAUGAAGUCGGAAUCGCUAGUAAUCGCGGAUCAGCAUGCCGCGGUGAAUACGUUCCCGGGCCUUGUACACACCGCCCGUCACACCAUGAGAGUUUGUAACACCCAAAGUCGGUGGGGUAACCUUUUAGGAACCAGCCGCCUAAGG
rnacentral:rRNA from 1 species